rnacentral:ncRNA from 1 species
UGCUACAGGCGUCAAGGGGUCCGAAAGGUACUCCUGAUGUACCUUGGCACUGAGUAAAGUCUUGGGUACCUAGGGAAAGGUGAAGGAGCUAGACUCCUUACCAAGUACUUAGGGGGUGGAGAGUAGUAGGAGUGUUGGAGAAGCCCGGUGCUCCUAUGAAAUCUGGAAAAUCCUGAGGCUGAAAGGUGAGAAGGUACAAGGAGGCUUCCAAGUAGGGUCUGUUGAGCCUGUGGCA